UGGGGAAUUUUGGACAAUGGGCGAAAGCCUGAUCCAGCAAUGCCGCGUGUGUGAAGAAGGCCUUCGGGUUGUAAAGCACUUUUGUCCGGAAAGAAAUCCUUGGCUCUAAUACAGUCGGGGGAUGACGGUACCGGAAGAAUAAGCACCGGCUAACUACGUGCCAGCAGCCGCGGUAAUACGUAGGGUGCAAGCGUUAAUCGGAAUUACUGGGCGUAAAGCGUGCGCAGGCGGUUUGCUAAGACCGAUGUGAAAUCCCCGGGCUCAACCUGGGAACUGCAUUGGUGACUGGCAGGCUAGAGUAUGGCAGAGGGGGUAGAUCACGUGUAGCAGUGAAAUGCGUAGAGAUGUGGAGGAAUACCGAUGGCGAAGGCAGCCCCCUGGGCCAAUACUGACGCUCAUGCACGAAAGCGUGGGGAGCAAACAGGAUUAGAUACCCUGGUAGUCCACGCCCUAAACGAUGUCAACUAGUUGUUGGGGAUUCAUUUCCUUAGUAACGUAGCUAACGCGUGAAGUUGACCGCCUGGGGAGUACGGUCGCAAGAUU
rnacentral:rRNA from 1 species